rnacentral:rRNA from 1 species
UACGUAGGUGGCAAGCGUUGUCCGGAAUUACUGGGUGUAAAGCGCGUGUAGGCGGGAGGCCAAGUCUGCUGUGAAAUCGCCCGGCUCAACUGGGCGGGGUCGGUGGAAACUGGUCACCUGGAGGACGGUAGAGGCGAGUGGAAUUCCCGGUGUAGUGGUGAAAUGCGUAGAGAUCGGGAGGAACACCAGUGGCGAAAGGCGGCUCGCUGGGCCGGCCCUGACGCUGAGACGCGAAGGCGUGGGGAGCGAACGGG